rnacentral:misc_RNA from 1 species
GUAGUUUAUUAUUAUUAUUUUUUUCAUUCAACUUAAUUAUAUAUAGUAUGGCACAACUCUAAGAAUACUAUUAAAAUGGUAAUUGUUUUGAUCCUUGGAUGCCAAGUAAUAGCUAGACCAAGUAUUUUCUAAGAAAAUUUCUUCUAAUUAGGCACCAAUUAAUAAAAAGAAAUUGGAAUAAAGUUUGAAUUCAAUUUUAGUUUUCAUGGGG